rnacentral:rRNA from 1 species
ACGCUCGACACCUACGGUAGGCAGCAGUAGGGAAUCUUCCACAAUGGACGCAAGUCUGAUGGAGCAACGCCGCGUGAGUGAAGAAGGUCUUCGGAUCGUAAAACUCUGUUGUUAGAGAAGAACACGAGUGAGAGUAACUGUUCAUUCGAUGACGGUAUCUAACCAGCAAGUCACGGCUAACUACGUGCCAGCAGCCGCGGUAAUCUGAGGCGGGCGUGGCGAAGGC